rnacentral:tRNA from 1 species
GAAGACUUGGCUCAACUGGUUAGUGCGCCUUUGGGUGAAAUGAUAGACCCGGGUUCGAGUCCCGUGGUCUUCA